UACGUAGGGUGCAAGCGUUGUCCGGAAUUAUUGGGCGUAAAGGGCUCGUAGGCGGUUUGUCGCGUCGGGAGUGAAAACACUGGGCUUAACUCAGUGCUUGCUUCCGAUACGGGCAGACUAGAGGUAUUCAGGGGAGAACGGAAUUCCUGGUGUAGCGGUGAAAUGCGCAGAUAUCAGGAGGAACACCGGUGGCGAAGGCGGUUCUCUGGGAAUGUCCUGACGCUGAGGAGCGAAAGUGUGGGGAGCGAACAGG
rnacentral:rRNA from 1 species